GACUCAUUGAGCUUAAUUUUUCUCCUUUUUGAGCAUACACACAAAAUUAAAGUGGUCUAGACCAGAGAAUUGCUCAAAUACAGUUUUUCCAUGACUUCUAGAAGUGGGAUAAAACCCACCUGUUCUCACUUUUUAGGAAAACAAAUAGCUGAGAUGAAUGAAUAAAAACUGAAAUAGAAUGAGAAUUUAAUUCAUCUUCAAAACCCAGCAAUAAGUAACAUAAUUACUGACUGCUGUACUGAAAAUGGAAACCAGAGUGGUCAUACAGAAUACUCUCCAGUUUCCCAGGAGGCUGAUCAAGGGCAAUUCCAGGAAUCCUGCUACAGUAGCUGCAACCAGUAAGAAAGCUGGUUACCCGAUGACACGCACUCAGUAUGGACUUUGAAGAUAUGAAGUGAAAUGGUGCCCUCUCCUCCUCCUCCCACGUACCAUUAUUGGAGAUGCCCGGGGCCUGUUCAGAGCUAUUUAUG